UAAAAACCCCGACUUCGGAAGGGGUGUAUUUAUUAGAUACAAAACCAAUGCCCUUCGGGGCUCUUUGGUGAUUCAUGAUAACUAUACGAAUCGCACGGCCUUGCGCCGGCGAUGGUUCAUUCAAAUUUCUUCCCUAUCAACUUUCGAUGUUUGGGUAUUGGCCAAACAUGGUUGCAACGGGUAACGGAGGGUUAGGUCUCGACCCCGGAGAAGGAGCCUGAGAAACGGCUACUACAUCCAAGGAAGGCAGCAGGCGCGCAAAUUACCCAAUCCCGACUCGGGGAGGUAGUGACAAUAAAUACUGAUACAGGGCCCUUUCGGGCCUUGUAAUUGGAAUGAGUACAAUUUAAAUCCCUUAACGAGGAACAAUUGGAGGGCAAGUCUGGUGCCAGCAGCCGCGGUAAUUCCAGCUCCAAUAGCGUAUAUUAAAGUUGUUGUGGUUAAAAAGCUCGUAGUUGAACCUUGGGCCUGGCUGGCCGGUCCGCCUCACCGCGUGCACUGGUCCGGCCGGGCCUUUCCCUCUGUGGAACCCCAUACCCUUCACUGGGCGUGGCGGGGAAACAGGACAUUUACUUU
rnacentral:rRNA from 1 species